CCGCACUCCGGCUGUGGCUGAGGCGCUUGGAAUCUGCUGCUUUCUGCUGUAAAAAUGGAAACAUCCCCUACGUGAGACACAAGCUGCUCCAUGCGGCCACCAGAGGCCACAGUCCAAUUGGGUCACCCCUGCUGACAGCUGGGAGGGGCUGCCAGAGACCACCAGGGGCACCACUCAGGGAGGCUUCCAGAGUGCUGGGCCAGAAAGUCACUGAGGUGGAACGUGGCUGUCCCUCCUGUAUCUGACAAGGAACUGUAUUCCAGGCCCGCUGUGGACCCAAUUUGGCCUCCACCCUGCAGUGGUCCUGGCCUGAGGGUGCCCUGGACCCCAACAGGUAUGAAGGGCUCACACAUGGUCCAGCAGAGACACUGUGUCCCAGCCCCUCCCUGACCCCCUCCAUUCCACCUUUGGCCUUGAAGCCACAAAGAGGGUCAAGGGUCUCAGGCAAAGCCUCUGAAGAGCAGAGCUGAGUAGCUGGAUACAAGAGAGGGAAGGCUCAGAGCAGAGAGGCGCUGCACCAACAAGGGGCAGGAGGAGCUUGGAUCAGAUGCUGAGCUCCUGCUGUGUGCCUAGAGCAUCUGGGCCAGUCCUACUGCAGGACAAGGGACUCUCAUAAGGAGUGGCUUUGUCCCAGCCCCCAUCCAGCCACCAGGCCCCGCUGAGGUGCCCAACACAGGACUGGACUCUGGGUAGGCUGGGCUCACUCAACUCCCUCCAGGGUCCAGGUGGAGCCCCCAGCAUCGCGCUAGCAUGGCCCGCCAGGUGUGGUAGGGCCUCAGCUGGCCUCAGCCCAUACGCUAUCCCCCCAUACACACACUCCAUGGCUGCUCAUGGUCGACCAGGGUGCAGAGGUCAGACCCCAGCUCUGCUAGUCUUCAGCUCCCUCACCAUGACCCGGUGACAUUGUCGGGCCGGAUUAAGCGGGCUGUUGCUGCUGAGCAUCUCAGAAGAAUGAGUAGUGCUGGAGGGCGAGUGGAUUAGACAGCAGUCAAUAUUUCCGUCAACUGGGAGCUGCACGUGGUCUGGUUAGUUUUGCAGUUUCUGCUUCAGGCAGGCAAAACCCAG